rnacentral:rRNA from 1 species
UACAGAGGUCCGAGCGUUGUUCGGAUUCAUUGGGCGUAAAGGGUGCGUAGGCGGUGGGGUAAGUUGGAUGUGAAAUCUUGGGGCUUAAACCUCAAAAUUGCAUUCAAUACUGCUCCGCUUAGAGUUCUGUAGAGGAGAUGGAAUUUACGGUGUAGCAGUGAAAUGCGUAGAUAUGUAAGGAACGCCAGUGGCGAAAGCGAAUCUCUGGGCAGCACUGACGCUGAGGCACGAAGGCCAGGGGAGCAAACGGGG